rnacentral:ncRNA from 2 species
ACACAUCACCACGGGUGCCCCGGUGAAACUCCGGCGCUGAGAUGUCUGCACAGAUGAACCGUUGAACCUGAUCCGGUUAAUACCGGCGAUAGGAAGGGUCUUUUUUCAUGUCC